rnacentral:snRNA from 1 species
AUAUUUACUUGGCAGGGAGGACACCUUGAUCAUGAAGGAGGUUUUCCCAGGGUGAGGCUCAGCCGUUGCACUCCAGCUGUGCUGACCCCUGUGAUUUCCCCAAAUUUGGGAAACUCGACUGCAUAAUUUGUGGUAGUGGGGGGACUGCGUGCGCGCUUUCCGUUU